UGUGUGUGUGUGUGUGUGUGUGUAAUGAUGUCAUUGUUUUCCACUGUGGUUAACUGUGUGGGAUUCGAGUUGUUGUGUGUGUUGUUGUAUGUGGUGUGUGUGCUGGUGUGUGGGUUUGGGGCACUUGGAGCACUGAGGAUGACAUGGAGAAGUGGAACACACUCAGACGCCCGUCUCUCGUCUCUCAGCUGUAUCUCUGCAGGUGUGUUUUUAGCCUCCUGUCUGUUGGACAUUGUUCCAAAUUUUCUAAAAGAAAUGAGAGAAACAUUCACAGAACUUAGCGUUACGCUGUACUUCCCCGUGCCGGAGUUCAUCAUGUCUGUGGGGUUUCUGUUUCUGCUGGUGAUGGAGCAGCUGAUCCUGACUCUGAGGGAUGAGCGUGAGCGACAGCACGGACAGAAGGAAGGACGUGAGGACAAGGAAGCUCUGCUACUGUGCUCACCUACGGUCCGGACACGUCCCGACCCCUCCCUGUCCCCCAUCCGCUCGUCCGUGCUACUCCUGUCUCUCUGUCUGUUCUUCAUCUGCCAGGGUUUAUCUGUGGAUGUGGUGCAGCUGUGUCCUGAACUCCUUCUGCGCACUUCACUCGUUGCUUGCAGCCUGGUCUUCCUGCUCAUUCACAGUCACAUGAGACGGUCCGUAGUGUUGGUCUGCCUGGUGGUGCUGUCCUCUGCGUUCCCGCUCGGCCUCGCCCUGCGUUACACACACACACAACACUCCUUUCGCUUGGCUCGCUCCACGCUCCAGGGCUUGAGUGUAGGUAGCGUCAUCUAUGUCGUCUUCAUGGACGUGAUUCCCCGAGUCACGAGUGCUAACGAGCAACGUAUCGCUAAAGUCACACUGAUCCUCACGGGGUUCAGUGUGUUCACUGCCGCGUUGCUUCUCUAAUCACACACAGUGUUCAGUGUGUUCACCACCACACUGCUCCUCUAACCCUUUCAUGCCACGCCACCACACACACUUUGAACUACACAGGGCACUAGAUUCUGCAGUGUACACUUCAUCUGCACUAUACCAUCUUACCAUUAAAGUGUGUGAAGAAACUAUAUAAUGUCCCCGCCCCCAAGCCCAUAUACAUGAAGCCCCGCCUCUUAGUAGAUUACAUUACUCCUCUCUUAAUCUGUGUGUGAUUUUUUUUGUGUGAGUGUGUGACCGAGAAAGAUUUUAGAUACACAGUAAACAGUUCCAGAGUAAAGAGAUGAGAGAAUUAAACUCCAGGAUGAUUUUAUUGUGUUUUCUUUGUGUUGAACAAUCAGCAGUCACAUAUUAAAAGUAAAUGUUUACUGUG